CUUUGUGGUUGGACUGGCUGCCCCAGAAAGCUGUAAUAGGCUUUGUUUCUUGUUUAUCACAACACCUGGAUAUCUUUCAUCCCAAAUCCUGGCUGUUGGUCUGAGGAGGAUGUCAAUGUGUCAGUUGGAUAGCUGGACACAGCUGUUUCCCUGCCCUGGAAAUGGACCCAAAGGAAUCAGAAACAAAGGACGCUGAUGCUGCUUUUCAUCCUUCUGCCCAAGGAGAAUAAAUGUUUGUGCAAACCUUUUUUCAUGUGGCUGCCCAGAAAUGACCCAAGUGAAGCCAAGAAGCUGAACAUUAAGCAACCUCCCCCUGGUGAUGCUGCUGAAAUGAGAGAAUGCAUCCUCUGACGCUGUGUGACAUAGUUUACCUGUAAAUUUUAUUGCCUGAAGAUUUGCCCCUCUACAUUGUUCCUGCAGGGACCACACAGAAGAAUAAAACCUAGGACCAUGCCUCCACAUCACACCAAAUGCCCCUUUCUUGCCACCAGAUUUCACGGCAGGGAGGGUGUGUCCCUCUCUGACAACUUCUGAUAACUGUGAUAACUCACUAAUGAUUCAGAAAUCAAGACCUCAAAUCCAAAACUCAAGAUCUUCCUCUCCAACCUGGCAACAGCUCCGAGGUUCACUCACAGGCCAUGCAGAGGAGAGGAAAGAGGAAGCUCUGUUUGAAGACGCUCCAAGCCUCCAAUUUUGGUGAAAGGUCCAUCUGGGUCAGUGGAGAAGUGUUUCCCAACAGGCAGCAAGAGGAAGACCAGCUUAAACUGGACACUAGUAUUUUAGGCAUUAGGAUGAGAGGCAUGGGAACUUCGUGAGGUCUGAUCCUGUGCACACUGGGGGAAGAUGAGGAUCUCAAGCAAUGCCUUUUUAUUCCAGAGCAGCAGCUCCUGCUAAGCUGAGUGGGGUUGUGGGCAGCAGAGAGGUGAAUCCCAUUUCUGGGACAGGUGAGCCAUUGAAACAUGCAGGAUUUUCUCUUGCCUUUGGCUUUUUGAGUUAAUGGGUGUGAAACUCCUUUUCACUUCUGCUUUUCAUGUGCAUGCUUGGUGCAAUGCACUUCUGGUGUGGAGUUUUGCAAUCAGGAGAUUUCCCCAUCAAGUUUGGGUUUGUUUCUCUGAUUUUUACAAGGGAUGAACAGGCUAUCACUUCAGGGCAAAGCAGACAUGUAGCACAUCAGGGCAGGGUAAUCCAAGAAAAAUAGUAUCUGAAUACUAUUUGUGUUGCAAGCACAUGUAGGCGUUUAUUAUUUCUGAGAGCUCUCUCGUCAGUCAGACACUGAACAGUCGUGACAUCUGUUGUAAGUUACUGUCCCCCAGAGUCGUUUUACACAGUUUGGCGUUUGCUUUUUCAAAUCCACCACAAAUAAAGCCCUGCAUUAUCUCUCUGUCCCCACAAAGGCAAGUGAGAACCUCCUGGGGAAAUGCUGCAGACUGCGAGGAGGUGGAGAGGUUUAGCAGAGGAGGCUGUUUGGGUCCUCUCUGCCUUACUAUGGGUUGAGCACUGAACCCCCCAGUCCACACCAUCAGAGGGACCCCCCUGAGGUCCACAGGAGAUGAGACAAUGGUAAUUUCAUAAAAACAAAAACAAAGACCAAGUGCAAAGGCUGACCUGCAGCUCCAAACUUUCUGAGCCAUCAUCCUGUGCUGCAUUGGGGAUCCCUGUGUUGGUGUUCACAGGUUUGCACUUUGUUGGUGCCUCCCACACUGCUGCUGGGAGCUGGGAAGGCCAGAGCCAAGUCAGCUUUCCCUUUCAGCCCAUCUGCCUGUAUCAGGGAAGAAAUACUGUCUGUUUGUUUAGGUGAGAUAUUAGUCUGCCCCCAGAGCUCCAGGUCACUGUAAAUGUAACACAAGCCCUAUUUCCUGUUAGGAAAGGGGAAAAAAUAUGCCUGUGAAUUGUCUCUGAUGUGCUGCCAAUUGUCAGGGAAGAUUCAAUUUGGUGGAGAAUUACUGUGCUCUUAAGGAGCUGCACCAGUGACGGAGAUUUAGGGCAGCUACUCCUUCCAGAAAUGGGAGAUUUGUCUGAUUUCCACAAAACCAGGAUUGGGACUGGCAGCCAGCUGCCCACUCCACAGGCAUGAAUGGCUUGGAGGGGAGGCUGGAACAGUGGCUCAGGUUAAGGGGACCAUAUUGGGACAAGAAGGGGACACCUGUGCAUGGCUGAAGGAGAGCUGGACAGAGGUUUGGGGUGAGGCUGGCAGGGGCUGGGGUAAAGCUUUCUGUCAGUGUUUCACUAUGGUAAAGGACAACUGGUAUUUUCUUGCCACCUAGCCAAAAAUUCAGACCAAAAGGGACAAGAAUUUUUCUGUGUGUAAUGCACACAUGUGUUCACUUGUAAUCCAAUAAAGCAAAUAUGUGACCUGUGGAAUGACCCAAAGCUGCCACAAUAAAUAAUGUUAUAGAUCACUCAUGCA